UACAGAGGGUGCAAGCGUUGUUCGGAAUUACUGGGCGUAAAGCGCGUGUAGGCGGCUUAUCAAGUCCUGUGUGAAAGCCCUGGGCUCAACCCAGGAAGUGCAUUCGAUACUGCCAAGCUAGAGUACCGGGAGAGAAUGGUGGAACUCUCGGUGUAGAGGUGAAAUUCGUAGAUAUCGAGAAGAACACCGGUGGCGAAGGCGGCCAUCUGGACGGAUACUGACGCUGAGACGCGAAAGCGUGGGGAGCAACAGG
rnacentral:rRNA from 1 species